AGAUAAGAAUGGCUCAGUGGAUACAGGCGUGACACAGUUUGGAGUGGCUUUGAGCAGUAACAGCACAGUACCGGACUGUGAGCCAGCUCACUGUGCCAACAGCAGAGUGGGAGAGUAACAGCACUUACUGGUGUGAGGUGAAACAUGUGUCCCUGGGACAACCAAUACGGACAGCAGUCAGUAAGGAUCUGGAAAAUUUCAGGGAGACAUUAAACCUGGACACUAGACAGGAAUCCAUCUACGAAAACGUCUAUUACAAGUGAAACACAGUUGAGGGAAAAGCAAAGAUUUUCAUUGCUGAAUAACAAUUGUGCAGAAGCAGUCAAAGAGAUGGUUAGUGCACUGCUGAAAACUACAGGGAAUGGCAAAUCGAAACAGCUCCUAUUACCAGGAUUUGAUUUUAGCUGAUAAGACAAAUGAAAAUCUUGAGAAUUCAUCAGGGGCUAUGGAAUAUUAUUUCCAACCGAGAGCUGGGCCUGAGAACUGAUUGGGAGAAGCUGGUGAUGUACAACCUCUCUCUGUUGGAAAUAGUCAGAUCCUGGUACCUAUUAAGCACAAUGCAGUCUGUGUUUGAGCGAUAAAAUAUAUUACCCACUGUUUGCUCUGUUCACAGCAUUUUUUUAUGAGGAAUAAUGAAUACUGAUUUAGGAUUAAUUGUCUCAUUUCAAUAUAUGCUUGCACAGAUGCUGUUAAGGGACGUAUAAGGGGACGAGGAUAGUUGUUCGUCUCUAUCCAGUUGUCAACUCACUUUGAGUGACUGUUUUGGAGAUGGAUGAUACACUGAGCAUUGGCUAUUUACUGAUUCCAAGUCCCUGAUUUGAAGAAAAGUGCUUUUCUAUAACUAAGAUUUGGCACUUAUCCCAAUGAUGCUGAACAAUGCCACUCCUGUUUCAGUGGGAAACACUAACUCUCAUGCUCCAGGCACAUCCCUUCUAUUUCCUCAGCCUAUUCCACCCCAUGCAUGGUUAACAUCAGUAAAUGGUUAGUGAAACUCUUUAGUGCUGGUCACUCUGCCUGAGACAGUGUUUCCAACACGAAAACAGAAACUGCAGUUAUGGCUAAUAGAAAAGAAUUCUACCCCAGAACUGAAAGGUGAUACCUAUUUGGAAUCAUUGAAGAGACUGAGGUUCUCUUCCCUAGAUAAAGGUUGGGUGAAUGACGAGAGGUCUUUAAGAUUAUGAAAUGAUUUGAUAAGGUAGGCAUAGGGAUGCUUUCACUUGUGGAGCAGACUAAAAAUGUAUUUAUUAAUUAUUUAUUAAUAUGUCCAAUAAGGAAUUCGGGAGAAACCUCUCUACCCAAAGAGUGGUUACAAUAUAGAACUCACUAUCACAGAAUAGCUGGGACAAAUACCAUAGAUGCAUUCAAGGUGAUAAACACAUGAGGGAGAAAGAUAAAGAUUAUGUUCAUGGGGUUAGAUGAAGGUGAGGACACUUGUGUAGAGCAUAAACACCAUCAUAGGUCAGAUACACACGUACAGCUGUCCUGAGUUUAAGGAAAGUUUCAAUAGAAUGUAAUGGGAAAGGUAAACAAGGUGAGAUCAUAAAACCUAAAUUAGAGAGCGGAUCUAUGAUUAAAAAAAACAGUAAUUAAACCCAUAUUAGACAAGAUUAAUAAUUAAAGCCAAAAUAUGAGGAUUACUUAAAUCCAAACUUAUCAAACUAGAAAAUUAACAAUUACAUUUUAAAAAUUAGGAACUCAGCUUUUUAAUAAUUAUUGUACUCAGCUUGAACAUUAAUUUAAGUUAAACACGGGAUCACUAUUAUGGUUUCAUUUUUGUACCUAGCAGUCAACCAAAUGACUUCGAUAACACAUCUGUUAUAGUUUUAUCUGAAUUGUUUAAAUAAAAUGGAAUUUCUCAAA